GAGCCCUUUCAGAUACAAGACAUAGAGAGGAAGCAGAGGGAACAUUAUUUCUGUACACACUCCGGUCUUCCGUUGCCAAUUAGCGGGUCUCUGUGGAUGUUGGUGUUUGAGCCUGGAAACCUUGGGGCUCAAUGGAAGAACAUCAAAUGCAAGGUGAAAAAUAGAACUGGCUUGCCCAUUUCUGAGGAGGCAGUCAACUGGAAGAGGAAAGUCAUACAACUCAAACUGGGGAAGUGAAGGAUAAUCUAAUCUUUCAGUACACACACUUGCCUCCUUCAAAAGAAACACAAAGACAAUAUUACUGAAACAUGGAAGACUUUAAUAAGAACAUAUUAAAAGAAUUAACGCAUGGAAAAUAAAUAAUAAAAGCACAUUAAGCAGCAGUCCAGGAAAAUGUUGUUGACAUUGUUGUAAAAUAUUCUAAUAUAAAGGUUUUGGUAGUUCUCCCAACAAAAUGUAAAUGAAACCAUAAGUCCUUGAUUAACAGGAUCAAAAUAUGGUUUAAAAAGAAAAAAAAGAAAUUUAAAAAAACCUUGAAAGCUCCAUCUGGAGAAUUUUCAGUUGUGUGUUUGUCCCUGCUACACCAGCCCUGCAGCUCAUGUCCUUCACACAAAGACAGCAAGAAGAGUUCUAACUCAAUGGUGUGCUGACGUUUCUUCAAGAUUGGGUUACAGCUUUGUUUUCUUCCACCCUUCAGUCAGAAGGUUUUCAUGUCUCCACUGACACGCCAAGCCACAGGACUGUAGAGGGUUGGAGCAGCACUGAAGGACUUUCAUCAUUGGAGGACCUUCAGCAUGUGUUGAGAGCAACCUCCUGCACACUGAGAGAUUGCAACCUUCUGCAAGCUGCCGCCAAGGUACUGCUUUGCAUGGCACAAGAUACACAACAACAACAAU